rfam:Medicago truncatula strain A17 chromosome 4, whole genome shotgun sequence.
AUAUAAGCAAAAUUCAUUUUUUAGGUUCAUUCAUUUAAUGAUGUAUGUGGUUCAUAUAUGGACCACAUACAUCAUUAAAUUAAUGAACCUAAAAAAUGAAUUUUGCUUAUAU